GGUAUGGUAUGUCUGUGUUAACAGGAUGUUGGAGGUGGUAUGUCUGUGUUCUAACAGGAUGUUGGAGGUGGUAUGUCUGUGUGUUGACAGGAUGUUGGAGGUGGUAUGGUAUGUCUGUGUUAACAGGAUGUUGGAGGUGGUAUGUCUGUGUUCUAACAGGAUGUUGGAGGUGGUAUGUCUGUGUGUUGACAGGAUGUUGGAGGUGGUAUGGUAUGUCUGUGUUAACAGGAUGUUGGAGGUGGUAUGUCUGUGUUCUAACAGGAUGUUGGAGGUGGUAUGUCUGUGUGUUGACAGGAUGUAGGAGGUGGUAUGUCUGUGUGUUGACAGGAUGUAGGAGGUGGUAUGUCUGUGUGUUGACAGGAUGUAGGAGGUGGUAUGUCUGUGUGUUGACAGGAUGUAGGAGGUGGUAUGUCUGUGUGUUGACAGGAUGUUGGAGGUGGUAUGUCUGUGUGUUGACAGGAUGUAGGAGG